rnacentral:rRNA from 1 species
GACGAACGCUGGCGGCGCGCCUAACACAUGCAAGUCGAACGAGAGAUGAGGAGCUUGCUCUUCAGAUCGAGUGGCGAACGGGUGAGUAACGCGUGAGGAACCUGCCUCAAAGAGGGGGACAACAGUUGGAAACGACUGCUAAUACCGCAUAAGCCCACGGCUCGGCAUCGAGCAGAGGGAAAAGGAGCGAUCCGCUUUGAGAUGGCCUCGCGUCCGAUUAGCUAGUUGGUGAGGUAACGGCCCACCAAGGCGACGAUCGGUAGCCGGACUGAGAGGUUGAACGGCCACAUUGGGACUGAGACACGGCCCAGACUCCUACGGGAGGCAGCAGUGGGGAAUAUUGCACAAUGGGGGAAACCCUGAUGCAGCGACGCCGCGUGGAGGAAGAAGGUCUUCGGAUUGUAAAACUCCUGUUGUUGAGGAAGAUAAUGACGGUACUCAACAAGGAAGUGACGGCUAACUACGUGCC